AUUGAACGCUGCGGCAUGCCUUACACAUGCAAGUCGAACGGCAGCACGGGUGCUUGCACCUGGUGGCGAGUGGCGAACGGGUGAGUAAUACAUCGGAACGUACCUUAUCGUGGGGGAUAACAAAUUGAAAAAUUUGCUAAUACCGCAUAAUACUCUGAGGAGGAAAGCGGGGGAUUCGUAAGAACCUCGUGCGAUUAGAGCGGCCGAUGGCUGAUUAGCUAGUUGGUGAGGUAAAGGCCCACCAAGGCAACGAUGGGUAGCCGGCCUGAGAGGGUGUCCGGCCACAUUGGGACUGAGAUACGGCCCAGACUCCUACGGGAGGCAGCAGUAGGGAAUUUUGCGCAAUGGGGGAAACCCUGACGCAGCAACGCCAUGUGUGGGAUGAAGCAUUUCGGUGUGUAAACCACUGUCGGCAGGGAAUAAAGCCCGCGCUUGUCGCGGGGGUGAAUGUACCUGCAGAGGAAGCCCCGGCUAACUUCGUGCCAGCCGCCGCCGUAA
rnacentral:rRNA from 1 species